CAGGCGCGAAAACUCUACAAUGCAGGCAACUGCGAUAGGGGGACAUCGAGUGGCAUCCACCUUGGGUGCCUGUCCCACCGUCUAAAAAACGGUGGUUAGCAAGGGCCGGGUAAGACCGGUGCCAGCCGCCGCGGUAAUACCGGCGGCUCGAGUGGUGGCCGAUAUUAUUGAGUCUAAAGGGUCCGUAGCCGGCUUUGCAAGUCCCCUGGGAAAUCCAGCGGCUUAACCGUUGGUCGUCCAUGGGAUACUACAUUGCUUGGGACUGGGAGAGGUGGGAGGUACUCGGGGGGUAGGGGUGAAAUCCUGUAAUCCUCCGGGGACCACCGGUGGCGAAGGCGUCCUACCAGAACAGGUCCGACGGUGAGGGACGAAAGCUAGGGGCACGAACCGGAUUAGAUACCCGGGUAGUCCUAGCCGUAAACGAUGCCCGCUAGGUGUCACGGCGGUCGUGAAUCGCCGUGGUGCCGUAGGGAAGCCGCGAAGCGGGCCACUUGGGAAGUACGACCGCAAGGUUGAAACUUAAAGGAAUUGGCGGGGGAGCAC
rnacentral:rRNA from 1 species